GAUGAACGCUGGCGGCGUGCCUAAUACAUGCAAGUCGAGCGAACGGACGAGAAGCUUGCUUCUCUGAUGUUAGCGGCGGACGGGUGAGUAACACGUGGAUAACCUACCUAUAAGACUGGGAUAACUUCGGGAAACCGUAGCUAAUACCGGAUAAUAUUUUGAACCGCAUGGUUCAAAGGUGAAAGACGGUCUUGCUGUCACUUAUAGAUGGAUCCGCGCUGCAUUAGCUAGUUGGUAAGGUAACGGCUUACCAAGGCAACGAUGCAUAGCCGACCUGAGAGGGUGAUAGGCCACACUGGAACGGAGCCACCGUCCAGAGUCCUACGGGAGGCAGCAGUAGGGAACCUUCCGCAAUGGGCGAAAGCAUGACGGAGCAACGCCGCGUGAGUGAUGAAGGUCUUCGGAUCGUAAAACUCUGUUACUAGGGAAGAACAUAUGUGUAAGUAACCGUGCACAUCUUGACGGUACCUAAUCAGAAAGCCACGGCUAACUACGUG
rnacentral:rRNA from 1 species